CCAAUAGCGUAUAUUAAAGUUGUUGCAGUUAAAAAGCUCGUAGUUGAAUUUCGGAAUCGGUACGUUGGUCGUGCCUUCGGUAUGUACUGGUGUCACUGAUUCCUCCCUUCUGACGAACCGUCAUGCCAUUAAUUUGGUGUGGCGGGAAAUCAGGACUGUUACUUUGAAAAAAUUAGAGUGUUUAAAGCAGGCUCGCGCUUGAAUACAUUAGCAUGGAAUAAUUAAAUAGGAAGUUAAUCCUAUUUUGUUGGUUUCUAGGAUCGACGUAAUGAUUAAUAGGGAUAGUUGGGGGCAUUAGUAUUCAAUUGUCAGAGGUGAAAUUCUUGGAUUUAUUGAAGACUAACUACUGCGAAAGCAUUUGCCAAGGAUGUUUUCAUUAAUCAAGAACGAAAGUUAGGGGAUCGAAGACGAUCAGAUACCGUCGUAGUCUUAACCAUAAACUAUGCCGACUAGGGAUCGGAUGAUGUUAAUUUUUUAAUGACUCAUUCGGCGCCUUACG
rnacentral:rRNA from 1 species